UCACUUCCUUAAAUUGCAGCAGCAUGGUAAUUCAAUUUCAUAGCACACACGACACACUUGAGUAAAGAAGUACAGCAGUACGUGAGUGCUCUCAGAGUUUUAGUGACGAGAUUAGAUUUUAAAAAUGUUUUGUUUCUGCAUGGAGGAGACGAAGAGAGACAACGAGGACAUGACGGUGGUCAACUAUACAAUCAUAACCGAUUAUGAAAACAUCGAAACUGAGGACAUCAAAACAAAGAGUCACGGACAAUUUCAACACACAGAACUCAACACUGCUGGAAGAAACUGUUACAGACUGACUGCAGUGUGUGCGGUGCUGAUGUGUGUCCUCCUGCUGGCUGGCGUCACUGUGCUGUGGGUCAAAUACAACAUCCUGUCUAGAGAACAUAACCAGUUAGAGCAGGAGAGAUCUGCACUGCACCGUGUGCUGUUAAAAUCUGGAUGGAGAGUUUUCAGACAGAGUAUUUAUUACAUUUCUACUCAAAAGAAGAACUGGACUGAGAGCAGAGCGGACUGUAUAAAGAGAGGAUCUGAUCUGGUGAUCGUAGACAGUAGAGAGGAACAGGAAGCUCCAGCACUGAGUCUAAUCCACUUAUCUAAGUUAAGCAUGGUCUUUCUUGGUCCAGUUCAGCCAAACACAGCUUCUCCCACUGUGGUUCACCUGAGCAUGACUUCUUCACAACCGGUUCAGCUGAGAAGGGCUCCGGUGUUGCAGCUGCUCCAGUGGGCUUCUGGGCUGCAGGCUGCAGGUUUGGGGCUCACUCUCCACUGGUGCACUCUCCACUGGGGCUCACUCUCCACUCUCUACUGGUGCAGCAGCAGCCCUGGGGCCCUCAGCAGCUGACCGAACUAUAGCCUGCAGAGGGAAUAACCUCAGUUCGGUCAGCUGAGAGGUCUCCUGAGAGGUCCUAAAUAACUGCCCUGUUUUUUCACAUUUAAAACAUUUAUAUUAAACAAUAAUAUAUUCUAUAUUCAUUUUGAUCUGCAAUGAUUACAGGCGUUCAUCAGUAAAUACUCCAAUGGGUCUCACGCUUGGAUUGGUCUGACUGACAUAGUCACAGAGGGGACAUUUAAAUGGGUGGACGGUUCACCACUGACCACUGAGUUCUGGUGGGUCGGAGAACCAAACGAUGUUGCAAGAAAUGAGGACUGUGUUAUAAUAAACUUUAGAUUGGCUAGGUCCGUCAUCUUAACCUGGAAUGAUUAUAACUGUGGCUUCUCUGGAGUUGGGAUAUGUGAGAUGAACAUAUUUAACUGAGCAUAUGAAGUUCACUUGCUGAAAUAGGAGCAUUUCUUAAAACGAUAAUAAUACUGUUUGUUUUGAACAUAUGAAGUCAUUCUUUUACAUUUAGACAGCGAGUCAUGUGGAAAAAAACUGUAAAGACUGACGUGUAAUAGUUGGCAGAAAAUUCAAAUUUUUUUUAGAUAUUGAAGUUUAAACAAAAUCUACAUUUUGUUUUGAUAAGCAUUAACACACAGGAUUUUUUAUAUAUAACCAGGGGUUUAUGGCAAAUUACUUAUUUUAAAAACAAAAUUUGGAAAUGAUAACAUUUUAACAAAGUACAUAUUUAUACUUUAUUGACACAUGAGAAGAUAAAUGCAAUCAGCAAAGAUGUCCCUGCAAAAAAAAUAAAUAAUUCUAAUCUAGUCAGCCCAUGAAAGCAGCAAUAUUGGAAAAGGCCUGCUUUUGACUGCAGAGCAUGAAUAAAUCCGCCAGGGGGCAUAAAACAAGUAUCAGAUUAUAUUCAAUAUUAUUAUAUUAUAUUUGUUGAUAAUAUGGGUGGUGCAGAGGCCUCAGAAUUUAAAUAUGAUACAAAUUGCAUUAUAGGGUUACGUUUCCUUGUAAUUAGAUUCUCUCAAUAAGGACGUUUGCCAAAUUCCUGUAAGACUAGCUGUUUUUAGAGAUGCUCGGACACACUAAAUUUGAAGUGUUGUAGCAAAUGGUCUAAAUGCUUAUGUCAAUGUGAUGUUGUAGUUGUACUUUUUAAUAAAUUUGUUAUUAAAAAGUUAUAACAAGU